UACAGAGGGUGCGAGCGUUGUCCGGAAUCACUGGGCGUAAAGGGCGCGUAGGCGGCUGGGUAAGUAGGGGGUGAAAUCUCGUGGCUUAACUGCGGGCUGCCUCCUAGACUGCCUGGCUUGAGCGCGGUAGAGGCUGGUGGAAUUCCCGGUGUAGCGGUGGAAUGCGUAGAGAUCGGGAGGAACAUCGGUGGCGAAGGCGGCCAGCUGGGCCGUUGCUGACGCUGAGUGCGCGAAAGCGUGGGGAGCAAACAGG
rnacentral:rRNA from 1 species